GGCUGUGUGGCUCAGUGGUAGAGCGCCUGCCUAGCAUGUGGGAGAUCCUAGGUUCAUUUCCUGGCUAGAGUCA
rnacentral:tRNA from 1 species